UUACAACGAGCGAAGCUCUGGAGCAAAGACGCAAACAUGGCCGACAGCACCCACUGAAACAGCCAUGGUGGAAAUACUAUGGAGACAUAGGUGUUGAACAGCAUAUUUGAGCCUGAAUCAGAGGAAGAAUCUGAAAUAGAGGAGUAACCAGUCGCCCAUAGAUUGGAAAUGACUACUUCAGAGUGGUUAUUAAAAGAAUGACCCAGGUUCCUGAGGAGCUGACCUGAAUGACCCAUCAUGGCCUCAAUCCGUUGUACCUCUAUAUUCUUUGCAAAAUGCAAUGAAUAUUUACAGAACUGACCAUGGCCGUUUGAGAAUCAGAGGAAUGGAAAGGCAAUGAAGUGACUUGGCCUACAGGUCUUUUGUGAGCAGGAGCUGGGGUUUCCUUAGAAGAAGCGUCCGUGUCAUGAUCCCCUUGUUUGUGGUGCUACGCAUAUGGAGGGAGCUUCCAGAUACUUCAGGGCAGUACUUUGGAUUCAGACCCCUUUUCGACUGAACCGUGACACAUGUUCAGCAACAGCAUCCUCCAUGGAAGGUCUGUCAAGCUGAGCACACAAGUCCUGGGGCACAGGAAUCCGCUGGACGGCAUCCCAAUAAGGAAGAGGGUCUUUGAUGAUCUCGAAGAGGACUUAUAUACUGGAUACUGUAAUACAGUGCAUUGUAGGCUGUAUACUGUACAAUAAACAAAUUGUAUGGCCCUGAACAUUGUGCUUUGUUUACAGUACUGAUGAUUAUUUUGACACCAGAAGCAUCAGGUCUAAGACAGCCUGUUGUGUGUGAAUCGAUAAGUUAUUUUUAGUGCCUAUACUGUUGCACAUUUUGAUUUGUUGUUUGUAAUAAAAACAUUUUAUUAAACUUA